GACGAACGCUGGCGGCGUGCUUAACACAUGCAAGUCGAGCGAGAAAGCACCUUCGGGUGUGAGUACAGCGGCGAACGGGUGAGUAACACGUGGGCAACCUGCCCCAGAGACUGGGAUAACGUCCCGAACGGGACGCUAAUACCGGAUGAUGCGCGAUCUGCCAAGUAGGUCGCGCCAAAUGGUAGCUUCGGCUUCGGCUCUGUGCUGGGCCCGCGCCGGAUUAGCUUGUUGGUGAGGUAACGGCUCACCAAGGCCACGAUCCGUAGCUGGUCUGAGAGGACGAUCAGCCACACUGGGACUGAGACACGGCCCAGACUCCGACGGGAGGCAGCAGUGGGGAAUCUUGCGCAAUGGGCGAAAGCCUGACGCAGCAACGCCGCGUGAGCGAAGACGGCCUUCGGGUUGUAAAGCUCUGUCAGGAGGGGCGAAGCCACUCAGGUGAAUAGCCGAGAGGGUGACGGUACCUCCAGAGGAAGCCCCGGCUAACUACGUGCCAGCAGCCGCAGUAAUAC
rnacentral:rRNA from 1 species